rnacentral:rRNA from 1 species
AGAGCGCAAGGGGAAUGCCUUGGCAUCAGGAGCCGAAGAAGGACGUGACAAGCUGCGAUAAGCUACGGGGAGCGGCACAUACGCAUUGAUCCGUAGAUUUCCGAAUGGGGAAACCCGGUGCGGCAAUACCGCAUCAGCGUGCGUUGAAUAAAAUAGGCGUACGUGGGGAACGCCCUGAACUGAAACAUCUAAGUAGGGGCAGGAAAAGACAUCAACCGAGAUUCCGCUAGUAGUGGCGAGCGAACGCGGAGGAGGCCAAACCAGAGGUCAUAGAUCUCUGGGGUAAGGACAGUCAAUUAGAAAGGGAAGCUAGCCGAACGGCAUGGGAAGGCCGUCCACAGAGGGUGAGAGACCCGUAGGCGAAAGCGGAACGGACGAGACUGUAUCCAGAGUACCGCCGGACACGUGAAACCCGGUGGGAACAAGGGAGGACCACCUUCCAAGCCUAAAUACUACCUGAUGACCGAUAGUGGAGCAGUACCGUGAGGGAAAGGUGAAAAGUACCCCGAGAGGGGAGUGAAAGAGAACCUGAAACCUUGUGCUUACAAGCACUCAGAGCGCGUUAAAGCGUGAUGAGGUACCUUUUGUAGAAUGGUCCGGCGAGUUAUAGUAACGAGCAAGGUUAAGCUAUUCAGUAGCGGAGCCGAAGGGAAACCGAGUCUUAAUAGGGCGUUAAGUUCGUUGCCAUAGACCUGAAACCGGGUGACCUAUCCAUGUCCAGGCUGAAGAUCAGGUAAAACUGAUUGGAGGGCCGAACACACGUUCGUUGCAAUGACCGGUGAUGAGGUGUGGAUAGCGGAGAAAUUCCAAUCGAACCCGGAGAUAGCUGGUUCUCCUCGAAAUAGCUUUAGGGCUAGCCUCGCAUUAGUUUACCGGAGGUAGAGCACUGAAUGGUCUAGGGGGCCUCACCGCCUACCGAAACCUAUCAAACUGCGAAUGCCGGAUAAAUGAUGUGCGGGAGUCAGGCCGCGAGAGAUAAGUUCCGCGGUCAAAAGGGGAACACCCCAGAUCGUCUGCUAAGGUCCCCAAGUACGCGUUAAGUGGGAAAGGAUGUUGGAUUGCACAGACAACCAGGAUGUUGGCUUAGAAGCAGCCACACAUUCAAAGAGUGCGUAAUAGCUCACUGGUCGAGUGAUCCAGCGCCGAAAAUGUAACGGGGCUAAAACGCGACACCGAAGCAGCGGGAUGCGUAAGCAUCGGUAGAGGAGCAUUGUGUGAGGGUUGAAGCCAGAGCGGGAGCACUGGUGGACUUCACAGAAGAGAGAAUGCCGGUAUGAGUAGCGAGACCCAUGCGAGAAACAUGGGCGUCGAAGGCCCAAGGUUUCCUGGGGAAGGUUCAUCCACCCAGGGUAAGUCGGGACCUAAGCCGAGGACUGAGGUCGUAGGCGAUGGACAGCAGGUAGAGAUUCCUGCACCACUUAUACUUGUUUGACGAAGCAGUGACACAGAAGGAUAGGACGAGCGCGGUGAUGGUCAACCGCGUAGGCGGCACGAGGCCGGGAAGCAGUGAAGUACACUUCCCGCAAAGGCUGAGUGUUGACAGGACCGAAAAGAAGUAGGGAAGCGUCCGAGUUCACGCUGGCGAGAAAAGCUGCUAAGGAGAGUGUGAGUGCCCGUACCGGAAACCGACGCAGGUGGGCGAGGAGAGAAUCCUGAGACGGACGGGAGAACUCUUGUUAAGGAACUCGGCAAAAUGACCCCGUAACUUCGGGAGAAGGGGUGCCUCGAAAGAGGCCGCAGAGAAUAGUCACAAGCGACUGUUUAGCAAAAACACAGGUAUCUGCGAAAGCGAGAGCUGACGUAUAGGUGCUGACACCUGCCCGGUGCUGGAAGGUUAAGGGAACAUGUUAGAGCAAUCGAAGCAUCGAACCGAAGCCCCAGUAAACGGCGGCCGUAACUAUAACGGUCCUAAGGUAGCGAAAUUCCUUGUCGGGUAAGUUCCGACCCGCACGAAUGGCGUAACGACUUGUGAGCUGUCUCAACAGGAGGCCCGGUGAAAUUGAAGUAUGUGUGAAGAUGCACAUUACCCGCGACUGGACGGAAAGACCCCGUAGAGCUUUACUGUAACCUGACAUUGGAUCUUGAUAACGGAUGCACAGGAUAGGUGGGACGCUGGGAGACGAGGACUUUGGUUUUCGUGGAGCGGCCGUUGGGAUACCACUCUUCUGUUAUUGAGAUUCUAACCUCAAGCCGUGAGCCGGAUGAGAGACAGUGUCAGGCGGACAGUUUGACUGGGGCGGUCGCCUCCGAAAGCGUAACGGAGGCGCCCAAAGGUACCCUCAGAAUGGAUGGAAACCAUUCGAAGAGAGCAAAGUCAGAAGGGUGCUUGACUGCGAGACCAACAAGUCGAGCAGGUACGAAAGUAGGGCUUAGUGAUCCGGCGGUAAGAGAGUGGAAUUGCCGUCGCUCAACGGAUAAAAGCUACCUCGGGGAUAACAGGCUGAUCUCCCCCAAGAGUUCACAUCGACGGGGAGGUUUGGCA